rnacentral:rRNA from 1 species
UUCCAUUCCGAACUCAGAAGUGAAACGCAGUUGCGCCGAUGAUAGUGUGGGGUUUCCCCAUGUGAAAGUAGGUCAUCGCUAGGC